rnacentral:tRNA from 1 species
GUGGGUGUAGCUUAGCUGGUUAAAGCGCCAGAUUGUGGCUCUGGAGAUCGUGGGUUCGAAUCCCACCAUUCACCCCA